CCUCAAACUAGUUUGUCAACUUGUGUCGUAUUAGAUGACUAUAGGAGUUCGUUAAAACCGGUUAUGGUGGAGGCAUUAGUUUGUGGUGCAAGUUAUAUCAAGGGUGCUCACGUUGACUUGAAUCUGGUGCCGAGGGAUGAGAAUGAAGAGGAAGAUGUUGAGAACAUCAAGUUACCCAUUGUGGUGGAGGAGAUCAACGAUUGACGUUUAUCAUGUGGAUGUUGAUCGCUAUUUUGGAGAUGAAUGUCAAAGUGAUCUUUCUCAUGUGAAGGCUACUUUUGCAUUUCUGUUUUGUUGGAAC